UGCCCUGUGGUGUAACUGGCAACAUCCCGCUCUUUGAAAGCGAAGAUUCCAGGUUCAAAUCCUGGCGGGGCAG
rnacentral:tRNA from 1 species